GUUUUCAUGUAUCACCAUGAAAACAUGCACAUGAAUUUCAUAUUAUAUGAAAUUCAGUGUUUCUUUGAAUCCUGGAACUAAAUAUUAAAACCAAGGGCACACAGUCUGUAUCUCAGACUCCAACAGUCUCUCAGAGCUCGGGUGAUGGGUGCUGGCCAGGCACCUCCCGUCCGUUCUCGGGUGUCACUUAGUAAUACUCGCACAUAACCACGCUGCAGAGUCGUCUGAAAACUACAGUGUGGACGCUGCAGCGGAAAAACUUUUAUAGAGUUCGGGGUGUAGAUGCUGUGACAGCGUCUGCCCCUCACUCGACCACGUAGAGGCUUUGCCCACCUAGCCCAGGUGAGACGUCGCCUCGCAACGCCCCCCUGAGCUCGGGGGCUCCACGGAAACCAGGGGUUCAGACGCUGCUUGGCAACCUUCACCCCGAAGAAACCACGCAGGGUAUGUCCCGUGUAGCACAGAAGAGGCGUGGCUUUGCCACCCUUCUCAGUGCCGCGGGGCCCUGCGGAAACCAGGGGUGCGGACGCCGUUCGGAACGUGCGCCCCGAAAAAGCCACGCGGCGGAUACCUCUAGAGCUCCGGAGCCGACGCUGCUGAGCGACGGCCGGCCAGUGCCCGAGGGUGCCGCGGAACAGUGGAAAGAGAGUUACGGUGUUAUGGUGAUCAGCCGCAUAAACUGCGCUCUAGACGGCCUUAAAGGGUGAAAAAACCUGUCUUCGUAGUUGCCAGUGAUGAUGGAGCAGUGUCUCACCGAUGGAGGAGUCGUGGGAUGGCUCGUAAACGUGCGGGCGCCAGGGACGCUUUGGAGGGACUAGGAAGAUGAAAUCAAAAGGAAAAAAGGAGAAAGAUCCCCCCUGCAAAUCCAGUUCCCCCCUGCAAAUCCAUGCACCGGUUCAUCUGCUCGGCUGCUGCUGCUUGACAGAGAAAAAGCAGAAUUCGUACCGGCUCCUGAGACUCCCCGCUGAAGAACCCGGCCGUCCU